rnacentral:lncRNA from 1 species
UUUCUUAGCCUUAUUCUUAUUCUAGUUUAAUUAGGAAAGACCUUAUCAAUUUUACUCAUUGUAAGGCCUAUUUAAAGGGCUUAACAUGCUAAAAAUAAACAAUAAUGAUUAGUUUUUCUAAGCUCUUGCUUCAAAAAUGUGAUUAACUUUUUUUUCAUUGUUCUUCCUUUAUUCAACACUUCUUGCGAUCUUGCGGGAUUGAAGAAC